UACGGGGGGGGCAAGCGUUGUUCGGAAUUACUGGGCGUAAAGGGCUCGUAGGCGGCCAACUAAGUCAGACGUGAAAUCCCUCGGCUUAACCGGGGAACUGCGUCCGAUACUGGAUGGCUGGAGUUUGGGAGAGGGAUGCGGAAUUCCAGGUGUAGCGGUGAAAUGCGUAGAUAUCUGGAGGAACACCGGUGGCGAAGGCGGCAUCCUGGACCAACACUGACGCUGAUGAGCGAAAGCCAGGGGAGCAAACGGG
rnacentral:rRNA from 1 species